CAGUAGCCGCGGUAAUACGUAGGUGGCAAGCGUUGUCCGGAAUUAUUGGGCGUAAAGGGCUCGCAGGCGGUUUCUUAAGUCUGAUGUGAAAGCCCCCGGCUCAACCGGGGAGGGUCAUUGGAAACUGGGAAACUUGAGUGCAGAAGAGGAGAGUGGAAUUCCACGUGUAGCGGUGAAAUGCGUAGAGAUGUGGAGGAACACCAGUGGCGAAGGCGACUCUCUGGUCUGUAACUGACGCUGAGGAGCGAAAGCGUGGGGAGCGAACAGGAUUAGAGACCCGAGUAGUCCCUGUCUCUUAUAC
rnacentral:rRNA from 1 species